ensembl:snoRNA
UCUGCCACUAGAGGCACUGCAGUUGUGGCUGCUGUGUCAAUGUGGAUCAGUAGGUGGCAGAGAGGAGAGAGGUUAUGCCUAAACUCAGUCUUCUGACCUUUGAUCAUCUGAAAGAUUAGUAGCCUAACACU